ensembl:lncRNA
CAAAAAACAAACAUUAAAAGGAAGUCUGGAAACCAGUACAGAAUAUGUAUUUAGCAAGCAGCCAGUGGCAGUUCUGUGCAGGUGGCCCACAGUGUCUCAGCUGGAGCACUCCCAGUGCAUGGAUCAGCAGCUGAUGUUACAUCUCCCAGCCGUGACAGGGCAAGGUCAGGUUGGCUAUCCAGAAAAGGUUCUUCUCCAGAGGGUGGUCAGGCACUGGCACAGGCUCCCCAGGGCAGUGGUCACAGCCUUAAGCUGCCACAGUUUAAGAAGCAUUUGGACAGCGCUCUCAUACAUACGGUCAAUUUUCUUGUGGUCCUGUGUGGAGACAGGAGCUGGACUUUAUAAUCCUUAUGAGUCCCUUCCAACUCAGGGUGUUUUGCAAUUCUGUGAUUCUACGAUCCAGCCAAUGCCAGAACCCCAGAAUGCAUUGUUGUCUGUUAUCACAAUGAAUGCCAUAAAGCCCCCAAAGGCGCACUGGCAGAACGGAAGGGGCCCUGUUCACCGGGACUGCAUCAUGAGGUGGCAGCAUGCAGGCCUGUGCUCAGUGGGAGAGUGUGAGGAAGAAGACGUGAAUCAUUUGUAGCCAAAACUUUAUUCCCCGUCCUCAGCAGCACAUCCUGAGGUAGGCAGCUCUUUCUGACAGCAAAUUGUUGAAAAAAUUAAAACCAGCUUCCCGCAUUCUAUAUUGGAAUAAAAUUUCCUGCAAAUGAGAUGCUCUUUAAACAAACCAAGUUUAUCUAAGCCCUGUGCAAAAGCCAGGCGCUGGCUUUCUCCUGUCUGUUAACAAUUAUAGGGAGGAAGAACAUGCACCUCUGCGCAUGCUCAGAGCAGCUCUGCCCUUCUCUGUGAUGUCUCUGUGGAGAUGGAAAAGCACCAAAAGAAGUGACCAAGAGCUUCAGUGUCCAUUAUUCAGCAUUAUUGCAAUGAAUGACAUACAACCCCAAAAGAAGUUGUGAGUUGCUGGAGAGACAGACAGCUCAUGGAGGUCAUGGACAACGGUGACUUGGUGGCUCUGGCGAAGUGGACCAGAGGUGCGCAUGCAGCUGAGAGGUACCUAGGAGGAUGGGAUGUAAUCAUUCUUUCAUGCUCUUCCUCUGAAUUUCUGCCUUAUGCGAUCCUUUUCAUUACGGAUGGCCCCUUCGGGACUCUCGUGCUGCUGUCACCGCUCUCUGGAGGAACUUUCCUCCCUGUCCCAUAGGGGGGACAGCCCGACUGCACUCGGCCACCCACCCGUCGGGCACUGCGGGAAGCGCCGUGGCUUCUGGCGGGUGGGAGCAGCGAAUGGGGGACUCUGUUACUGCUGCUCAUGGCCAAACCAACCUGCAGGUAAGGAAAUGAGGCAAGCCGAUUCAGUUUUC